UGUUGAGGGUGGUAGUCCCGGGACUGCUCAGAGCCAGGAUGGGUUUUCUUGUGUCUUUCUGUAAUUAAUUCAUUUCCUCCUCCGAGGUGGAUCUGGUUUUAAGUUAUAAAGCGCAGUGCAUGUGCUGGAAAAUAUUCUUGGAGUUAAGCUUAGAGUGUUGCAAACGCAAGAACGGACAGGAAACAUGGGAAAUACGCAGUGAACACUGAGCACUCUGAAAACAAGCUGAUCCUCACAGCAAAUCUACAAGUGGGUCGAUUCAGUGUCCUCCUUUUGAAGAUGAGCUGGGGGUGGUGAAGACGCCUUUAACUCACAGCUAGGAACCAGUCGUGUUCGGAUGACCAGGAGGCUCAGCGCUCUGCACGCUGGCGUCCACUUUCAGAUGGCAUCACCGGUGAAGGCUCUUCCAACCUAACUGGGGUCUGUGUGAGCCCAGGAGUCUCGAACACCCAGCACGCCCACACACAGAAUCACCCCAUGCACAGCUGGUGAUCACGCAUCUAUACCCGCUCUGCAGCCCAGGUGCUUGAUCUCCCCAGCAGUGUGGCUGCUCAAGGGCGGGCCCAGAGAAAGCAGAAUGCCGUCUGUCUGGCAGCUGGAAGAAGUGAGAAGGGGAACGGGAGGUUUCGGGGAAUUAAUAAGUGUUAUUGAAGCAAUGGACCAUAGAACAAAAGAUGAAUAAGGAGGAAUAUGAGUGAAGCAAAGGCUGCGGGCUGAAGAUUUUAAUAAAAUUGUAUUUUAAUUGUUAUAUAAAUUUAGGUUGUUAUAUAAAUAACUGAACAAACAAGAUGGAAAGAGAGGAGAUGGUGGUUAGAACAAUGGGUUCUUGAGGAAGUGAUUUUGGAAGUAGAGUGGUUGGGGUAACGACAAUGUCCAGUGGAGGGUCAGGUGCAUGACAGAGAAUUUACCAUUAAAAUGUUGUUCUGCUUACAUGAAAAGACGAAGACAUGCCUACCCAUCACUGGAAAAUAGAAUAAGAGAAGAUGACAUAUAUACAGAUUUUGAUUUUCCGCAAAGUUAGAGAAGGCAUGCAAUUACUUCCACCUGGAUAAAAACUUGGACUUUAAGCCUAAAUAUCUUCAGAGAUUGUAGGGAUUCAAAUGAUGUAAAUGCACUCAGUUGUAAAUAACACCAAAGAGAUGAUAAAUCAGAAGGCUUUUUGUUUUUUUAUUACUAAUAUUUUCAUUGACACUCAUAAGUGAAAGAAAAUUGCUGCUGUAAUUGGUCUCUGUGGAACGUCUUUUUGGCUUGUUUCUUAGUUUGUGUGAUAACAACGACAAUUGGAGCACUUGUAAUAUGCCUGUUGAAUAAUAAAGGAAGUGACAACUCUUCCAUUGUUAUCAAGGUAUACCUAAACAAUGCGGAGCCUGAAAUUGCAGUUCAGGAAGAAACCCCUAUUGCUUCUCAACCUACAGUGACAACCAUAUCAACUGAAUCUACAACUACAGACACUUCAACAGACUCUACAACCAUUUCAACAUCCACAGAACCCACAGCACUAUAGCCACAACCAUCACUUGAACUGCACCUACAACCACCACAGGUUCAACUGAACUUAACGACCACAACAGCCAUCACCCCUACUUGAACUAAAACCACAGAUGCCCCCAUUUCAGAGGAAUCGACAGCAGCUACAAUUAAUUACAACAUCAAAUUUCAGUAAAACUUUAUUUUAGCUGACAACCAAAAUAAUCACUGCUUCUACCAUCUCUUUUAAUGUACACCUACAUUCACUUCAAUGGACUCUAUAACCACUGCCACGUCCGUUCAGCCUGUAACUACUGUAAUGUCCACUUAGCCUACAAUAACAAUGGUCAUCAGUCUCCUUUAGCUGUCUGUAAACUACACCUGUUUGUCUGAACCUGCAGCUACCACCGCCAUAUUAUCACUUUACCUAAUAGACCUACCAUCAGUCAACAUGUUCUCUUCUGUGGCACGUUAAUAUUGGUAUCACUACAGGUUACCUGCAGCUGUCCUCCCCACCAGCUGCUUCCCCACUGGAGCAUCUCUUCCGCAAUAGCCGAGUCAGUACCUGCUGCUGUUACUGUGCUACACCUGCCGUGGCUCCACGGUGCCACUUAAGAACAAGAAUUUAGACAAUGAAUAGUGCAAUAAUUAUUUUGAUUUUCACUGAAUCGACACUGAGGACUUCUAAAUGUAUUAAAACUGUUUUUAAAGA